AACGAACGCUGGCGGCAUGCCUAACACAUGCAAGUCGAACGAAACCUUCGGGUCUAGUGGCGCACGGGUGCGUAACGCGUGGGAACCUGCCCUUAGGUUCGGCAUAACUCCACGAAAGGGGUGCUAAUACCGGAUAAUGUCUUCGGACCAAAGAUUUAUCGCCUUUGGAUGGGCCCGCGUUGGAUUAGCUAGUUGGUAGGGUAAAAGCCUACCAAGGCGACGAUCCAUAGCUGGUCUGAGAGGAUGAUCAGCCACACUGGGACUGAGACACGGCCCAGACUCCUACGGGAGGCAGCAGUGGGGAAUAUUGGACAAUGGGCGAAAGCCUGAUCCAGCAAGGCCGCGUGAGUGAUGAAGGCCUUAGGGUUGUAAAGCUCUUUUACCCGGGAUGAUAAUGACAGUACCGGGAGAAUAAGCUCCGGCUAACUCCGUG
rnacentral:rRNA from 1 species